CAGCAGCCGCGGUAAUACGGAGGGUGCGAGCGUUAAUCGGAAUUACUGGGCGUAAAGCGCACGCAGGCGGUUUGUUAAGCGAGAUGUGAAAGCCCCGGGCUCAACCUGGGAACUGCAUUUCGAACUGGCAAACUAGAGUGUGAUAGAGGGUGGUAGAAUUUCAGGUGUAGCGGUGAAAUGCGUAGAGAUCUGAAGGAAUACCGAUGGCGAAGGCAGCCACCUGGGUCAACACUGACGCUCAUGUACGAAAGCGUGGGGAGCAAACGGGAUUAGAUACCCCGGUAGUCCACGCCGUAAACGAUGUCUACUAGAAGCUCGGAGCCUCGGUUCUGUUUUUCAAAGCUAACGCAUUAAGUAGACCGCCUGGGGAGUACGCCGCGCAGGUUAAAACUCAAAUGAAUUGACGGGGGCCCGCACAAGCGGUGGAGCAUGUGGUUUAAUUCGAUGCAACGCGAAGAACCUUA
rnacentral:rRNA from 1 species